UACAGAGGUGGCAAGCGUUGUUCGGAAUUACUGGGCGUAAAGGGCGCGUAGGUGGCCAUCUAAGUCAGACGUGAAAUCCCCCGGCUUAACCUGGGAACUGCGUCUGAUACUGGACGGCUUGAGUAUGGGAGAGGAACGUAGAAUUCCAGGUGUAGCGGUGAAAUGCGUAGAUAUCUGGAGGAAUACCGGUGGCGAAGGCGGCGUUCUGGACCAUUACUGACACUGGAUCGCGAAAGCUAGGGGAGCAAACGGG
rnacentral:rRNA from 1 species